rnacentral:sRNA from 1 species
CAAAAAUAUGAGGGUGUGGUUUGCUGGCAACAGCGUCCGCCCCAAGUAUUUUUCACCCAUGUCUUUUGCGCACUUUUUGUUUCCUGGGCGAGUUCGCUCGCCACCAGGACCCAACCAUAAACCUUUUUUUAUGCAGUUGCAAUCAGCGUCAGUAUAAUAAUUCAAUUUAUUAAAACUUUCAACAACGGAUCUCUUGGUUCUGGCAUCGAUGAAGAACGCAGCGAAAUGCGAUACGUAGUGUGAAUUGCAGAAUUCAGUGAAUCAUCGAAUCUUUGAACGCACAUUGCGCCCUUUGGUAUUCCAAAGGGCAUGCCUGUUCGAGCGUCAUUUGUACCCUCAAGCUUUGCUUUGGUGUUGGGCGUCUUUUUGUCUCUCCCCUUGUUGGGGGAGACUCGCCUUAAAACGAUUGGCAGCCGACCUACUGGUUUUCGGAGCGCAGCACAAAUUUGCGCCUUCCAAUCCACAGGGGCGGCAUCCAGCAAGCCUUGGUUUUCUA